AAAACCAUUUGUUAAAUGCUUCAAGGCUCAAACCUAAAACCUAGGAGUAGCUAAUAGAGCUAAAGCCGUAUCAAUUUAUUCUUUUUAAUCUUCUUGUGUGUGCGCGUUUAAUAGUAACUUAAUCAUGACAAAAUGAAUAAAUUGUUUUAUUUAAUUAAAAUUAAACUGUAAUAAUAUUUAUGAGAUUCUAUUUUAUACUUUAACCUGACAAAAUCAAACCUUAUGCAUUAGCCCAUCUUAGCAGGGUUCUAAAUUUAGCAUUAGUUCUCUAAAUCUAUCUCAAACAAUACUCUUUUGAGUUUACAUUUAAAAACUAUAUAUUUUUGUUUAUAUUUAAAUAUGUAAUAAAGAAAAAGUGAUCACUACCAAGUACAUAAAAAAAAAUAUUAUACACAUAAGACACAAUUCAAGUGAUAAUCUAAAAACUAAAAUAUUUCAUUAAUUUACUCACUUAGACACAUUUCUCUAUUAAGAAAACAUAAACUCACGACGAACAGCCUAAAUUGGAUAAUAAUAAUAAUAAUAACAACAACAGUACAAAGAUACAGAUCAUAUAUGAAGCAAUGUAAAUUCACAUCAUGGUUGGAAAAUCGAGGUGGCCGAUGGUGUAAGUAGCGAAACCCAUUGAAGAGAGUCGAAAGCCAGGCCGAUCAAGUUGAGCAGCAUAUUCCUCUAACACACUUCGAGCAUCCCAGAUAACGUAGAAGAUUGAAGAGACAAAUAAUAAGAAGUAUGUGGUUAUUGGUACCAUAUUUUCUGAAAACUAAAGGAUAAUUUGAUGUGAAUAUUAGUAAUGUGAGAGUGAAAUGCUUUUAUAUGCUUCAAAAGACAAAAAAAAAUGAAUAUGGGAAGGGUUGUAGGUACUGACACAAGAAGACAAUAAAGGAAAAUUCGAGCAAAUCGAGAUGGUUUGUGAGAUUGAUGAGCUUAGCCAAAACUCAUAUUAAACGGUUAAAAGGAAAGAAAAGCAAAAGAUGGAAAGAAAAAGUAAUGAUAUAGUAUUUUUUGGUUUGUGAGUUUCUCCUUUUGGAAUGCCCUUUAAACAAUGCUGUGGCUUCACUCCAUGUCUGUAAAUGUAAAAAUUGACUUGACACCUAUCAAAAUAACCCUACAUAUAGGACACCCCCGAAAAUUAAAACCCUACUUCACCCUUAAUUUUAGGUUCUCUAUUG
rnacentral:lncRNA from 1 species